UACGUAGGCGGAAAAUUAAGUCAGUAGUGAAAUCCUGCAGCUUAACUGUAGAACUGUUAUUGAUACUGGUUUUCUUGAAUAUAGUUGAGGUAAGCGGAAUGUGUAAUGUAGCGGUGAAAUGCUUAGAUAUUACACAGAACACCGAUUGCGAAGGCAGCUUACUAAGCUAUGAUUGACGCUGGGGUACGAAAGCGUGGGGAGCGAACAGGAUUAGAUACCCUGGUAGUCC
rnacentral:rRNA from 1 species